rnacentral:rRNA from 1 species
GCAUGCUGGAGGUAUCAGAAGUGCGAAUGCUGACAUAAGUAACGAUAAAGCGGGUGAAAAGCCCGCUCGCCGGAAGACCAAGGGUUCCUGUCCAACGUUAAUCGGGGCAGGGUGAGUCGACCCCUAAGGCGAGGCCGAAAGGCGUAGUCGAUGGGAAACAGGUUAAUAUUCCUGUACUUGGUGUUACUGCGAAGGGGGGACGGAGAAGGCUAUGUUGGCCGGGCGACGGUUGUCCCGGUUUAAGCGUGUAGGCUGGUUUUCCAGGCAAAUCCGGAAAAUCAAGGCUGAGGCGUGAUGACGAGGCACUACGGUGCUGAAGCAACAAAUGCCCUGCUUCCAGGAAAAGCCUCUAAGCAUCAGGUAACAUCAAAUCGUACCCCAAACCGACACAGGUGGUCAGGUAGAGAAUACCAAGGCGCUUGAGAGAACUCGGGUGAAGGAACUAGGCAAAAUGGUGCCGUAACU